ACGCGUCAUUCCCGGAAAACCAUUGGACGUUUAUAAAUCUAAAGCAAUUCUUGCAAGGCGUUAGGCUUUAUUACUGCUUAAAAGGAAUGUAAAGAUCAAAAACUGGUUUAUUUUUCGUUUAAUUUUUGAGGACGAUGGAGAGUUUUCAGCAAGCGGACCAUUCUUCUUGCUGUACACUGAACUAUUUCAUUAGACUGAAGCAGAUUCAGGAAGUAGAUGGAGCUGAAAUCAUCUGGUACCAUGCAGCUAACAGCAGGGCCAAAACAGUAGAGGCAUUAAAAGGUUCUGCUCACAUGAUUGAAGCAGAUAUUCUUCAAGAUAUCAAGUCAAAUCAGCCAAUUAUGGCUCACCCUCCACAGAAUGAGAGUGACAUCACAUUUUAUGACUGGCUGAAUGAGGUUCUGAAAUCAGACAAGGGUAUAAAGCUGGAUUUUAAAAGCUUAGAAGCUGUGGGGCCUUCAAUUAAACUACUGGAGUUGAAGAAGGAAUAUCUCAAUCGCCCGGUUUGGUUAAAUGCAGAUAUACUUCCUGGACCUGGUGGAACAACUAGCAAUGUGGUAGAUGCACAAAGAUUCCUUGAAAUGGUGGAUUCUUUCAUUCCAGGUGCUGUAUUGUCUCUUGGGUGGACGACUUCCUUUAGCAGGGAUCAGGAUAAUUAUGUGUCCUCAUUUGUUCAGCUCAUCCCAGUCAUGACUGUCUAUGGUGCCUAAUUCAAGAUGCUCCCAAAUGAGAAGAGGGAGCAUGGAGCCGGACCCGCACCAUCACAGUGCCAGACGGGUUGGUUAGUAUGUUUAUGUAACUGCUGAUCUCCUGUGAUUGUUAUGCUCCUCAGUCUGUAGACUUUACUCAGAAUAAUGUUAAAAACAAAAAACACUUCUACGGUUGGAAACGUCUUGUUGAUGAGAAAGGUCAAAGGAGAAUGACCAGACUGAUUUGAGUUGGCAGAAAGGCUACAGUAACUCGGGUAACCACUCUGUACAACUAUGAUCAGCAGGAAAGCAUAUUUGAAUGCACAACGCAUCACACUUUGAGGGGUAUGGGCUACAUCCACAUUGGGUUCCACAACUAUCAACCAAGAACAUAAAGGUAAAGGAUGCAGUGGGCGCUGGCUUACCAAAACUGGACAGUUGAAGAUUGGAAAAAUGUAGCCUGGUCUGUUGAAUCUCGAUUUUUGCUGAGGCACACAGAUAAUAGAGUCGGACUUUGAUGCCAACAGCGUGAUUCCUAUCACCCAACCUUACCUUGUGUCUACAGUCCAAGCUGGUGGUGGUGUAAUAGUUUGGCACAAGUAAUACUAACCAAUCAUCGCUUGAAUGCCAUAGCCUGUUUAGGUAUUGUUGCUGACCAUGUACAUCCCUUCAUGGCUGUAAUUUUUUUUAUAUUAUCUAAUACUUACUUCCAGCAUGAUAAUGCACCAUAUACAUGACACCGAGUUCAGUGUUCUUCAGUGAAUCUCCCAGUCACCAGACCUGAAUCCGGUUAGAAUGGGAGAUUCACAACAUAAAUGUGCAGCUGACAGAAUCUGCAGAAAUUGCAUGAUACAGUAGAAUGUUCCAAAUAAUCUAUACAGUGUGUACAAAUCUUUGUCAGUUGCAAUACUGUCCUUAGUUAAUUUUUUGAACUUCCAAAUUUUUUAACAAAAUGCUUAACCCUCUUUUUCUCAUUUUACUACAUCAUUCCUACAUGUUCUUAAGGCAUUAAUUGGUUUUUUUUCUCUUCACAUUAUAAUUCUUUCCUUCAUGGCUUAAAUUGUUCCUAUGAAUGUUUUAUGUAGCUGUAGUUUUGCAGUAUAUUCAGUACAGUAUGUCUUUCAGUAUGUUUUCUCAUACUUUCACUUUUUUUCACAUUCACAGUUGCUUUAAUCAUUCAACAUUUCUUUCCAUAUGUCUAGAGCAAUAUUUCCCAUUGUAGAUUUCCAGGACUCACAUGGAGUGCAGUUUCACCAAGUGCUAAGUCUCUUCCUUUUUUGCCUUACCACUGUGUACAGUAUAUUUGAGAUCAAAGAUCAACCAUCACUGAUUUACCAAAUCACCUGCUAUUUAUCAUAAAAGCAACUUAAAACAAAGAGGUUACACCUGGGAGAUGGUAAAACAAAUGCAGGAAUUAUGUAAGGCACUUCAGAACACCAUAACAUUUCCAGUGCGUGCAGCUUUGC